GACGAACGCUGGCGGCGUGCUUAACACAUGCAAGUCGAGCGGUAAGGCUCCUUCGGGAGUACACGAGCGGCGAACGGGUGAGUAACACGUGAGCAAUCUGCCCUUCACUUUGGGAUAACCCCGGGAAACCGGGGCUAAUACCGAAUGCGACCACCGAUGGCAUCGUCUGGUGGUGGAAAGUUCCGGCGGUGAAGGAUGAGCUCGCGGCCUAUCAGCUUGUUGGUGGGGUAACGACCCACCAAGGCAUUGACGGGUAGCCGGCCUGAGAGGGUGACCGGCCACACUGGGACUGAGACACGGCCCAGACUCCUACGGGAGGCAGCAGUGGGGAAUCUUGCGCAAUGGGCGAAAGCCUGACGCAGCGACGCCGCGUGAGGGAUGACGGCC
rnacentral:rRNA from 1 species